rnacentral:rRNA from 1 species
CCACACUGGGACUGAGACACGGCCCAGACUCUACGGGAGGCAGCAGUGGGGAAUAUUGCACAAUGGGCGAAAGCCUGAUGCAGCAACGCCGCGUGAGGGAUGACGGCCUUCGGGUUGUAAACCUCUUUUAGCAGGGAAGAAGCGAAAGUGACGGUACCUGCAGAAAAAGCGCCGGCUAACUACGUGCCAGCAGCCGCGGUAAUACGUAGGGCGCAAGCGUUAUCCGGAAUUAUUGGGCGUAAAGAGCUCGUAGGCGGUUUGUCGCGUCUGCUGUGAAAUCCCGAGGCUCAACCUCGGGCCUGCAGUGGGUACGGGCAGACUAGAGUGCGGUAGGGGAGAUUGGAAUUCCUGGUGUAGCGGUGGAAUGCGCAGAUAUCAGGAGGAACACCGAUGGCGAAGGCAGAUCUCUGGGCCGUAACUGACGCUGAGGAGCGAAAGGGUGGGGAGCAAACAGGCUUAGAUACCCUGGUAGUCCACCCCGUAAACGUUGGGAACUAGUUGUGGGGUCCAUUCCACGGAUUCCGUGACGCAGCUAACGCAUUAAGUUCCCCGCCUGGGGAGUACGGCCGCAAGGCUAAAACUCAAAGGAAUUGACGGGGACCCGCACAAGCGGCGGAGCAUGCGGAUUAAUUCGAUGCAACGCGAAGAACCUUACCAAGGCUUGACAUAUACGAGAACGGGCCAGAAAUGGUCAACUCUUUGGACACUCGUAAACAGGUGG